rnacentral:rRNA from 1 species
CCUACGGGAGGCAGCAGUGAGGAAUAUUGGUCAAUGGGCGCGAGCCUGAACCAGCCAAGUCGCGUGAGGGAAGACGGUCCUAUGGAUUGUAAACCUCUUUAGGCGGGGAGCAAUGCCGGGCACGUGUGUCCGGAGGGAGAGUACCCGCAGAAUAAGCAUCGGCUAACUCCGUGCCAGCAGCCGGGGUAAUACGGGGGAUGCAAGCGUUAUCCGGAUUUAUUGGGUGUAAAGGGUGCGUAGGCGGUGGUUUAAGUCAGAGGUAAAAUGUCGGGGCUCAACGCCGGAAGGCCCUCGAAAAUGGUGCGGCUAGAGAGUAGUUGCGGGAGGCGGAAUGUAUGGUGUAGCGGUGGAAUGCUGAGCGAGC